CCGAGCCCAAAUAUUAAAACCCAGAUAAAUAAAUAAAAUAAAUCAAAUAAAUGUCCAGUUUAUUACAACAGUAGGACCGAUUAAUUUACCCAAACCCAAAACACAUUAGACCACCUAGCCCAACUAACUAAACCCAAACCCGUUACAAACCCAAGCCCAAAAGCAAAAAAAAAAAUCUAAAACCCUAAACAGUUUCUGAAACAAGCCUCAACCGCCGCAGCAGAAACCCGACCUCUCCUCGCACGCGCACAAUGCCUUCACGUGCCCCCGUACAUCUCCAGGCUGGCUUUGUACCUGCAGCAAUCAAAACAAACGAAACCAAGCAGCAAAUGGAGAAGUAACAGCGCAGCAAAUGGAGCGAAUUAAAAAUUGUAACAGAAAAAAAAACAAAACAGAAAAAGAAGGAUUUUGUAUUUUCUUUUUUGGCUAUAUAAAGCCAUUACAAAAGCUGUAAAGGGUUGCACACACACAUAUUGAAAUACAAAAAAAAUCAAUCAAAAAAUCAGAUUUGAAAAGGUGAUUCAUCAUUUUUUUUCUCUGCGUUUCUUUACUGUUUUCUUUAUUUUAUUUUUAUACUAAGAAGAGAAAAGUAAAGGAAAAAGAAGAGGGAGAGAAGAGCGAACUUACCUGGUGGCCGAUCUUCCUUCUACUCCGUCGCAAUCGGAGUCAGAUGGAGGAUAAAGGCCCGAAACGGCGCACAGAGGGGAGGAGAUUGUUUUUUUAGGGUUCCAUAGGUUUUUUGUAAAAGAGAUUAAAAAUCUGUUGAUUUUAGGCUUAAUUUUAGCAUUUAUUUGCUGAAAGAAACAACGCCGUUUGGAGGCUUGCGACCCGCGCGGUGACUCGAC
rnacentral:lncRNA from 1 species